rnacentral:rRNA from 1 species
GGGGUGGUAGAGAAUACCGAGGGGCGCGAGAUAACUCUCUCUAAGGAACUCGGCAAAAUGGCCCCGUAACUUCGGGAGAAGGGGUGCCACCGCAAGGUGGUCGCAGUGAAGAGGCCCAGGCGACUGUUUACCAAAAACACAGGUCUCCGCUAAGUCGCGAGACGAUGUAUGGGGGCUGACGCCUGCCCAGUGCCGGAAGGUUAAGGAAGCUGGUCAGCGAAAGCGUAGCUAGCGACUGAAGCCCCGGUGUACGGCGGCCGUAACUAUAACGGUCCUAAGGUAGCGAAAUUCCUUGUCGGGUAAGUUCCGACCCGCACGAAAGGCGUAACGAUCUGGGCGCUGUCUCGGAGAGAGGCUCGGCGAAAUAGAAUUGUCUGUGAAGAUGCGGACUACAUGCACCCGGACAGAAAGACCCUAUGAAGCUUUACUGUAGCUUGGUAUUGUGCCCGGGCUCUGAAUGCGCAGGAUAGGUGGGAGGCUAUGAACCAUUGCUUGUGGGUGAUGGUGAGCCAACGGUGAGACACCACUCUUUCAGAGCUAGGGUUCUAACGGUCACCCGUUAUCCGGGGACCGGACAGUACCUGGUGGGCAGUUUGACUGGGGCGGUCGCCUCCUAAAAGGUAACGGAGGCGCGCAAAGGUUUGCUCAGGCUGGUUGGAAAUCAGCCGACGAGUGUAAAAGCAGAAGCAAGCUUGACUGUGAGACCUACAAGUCGAACAGGGACGAAAGUCGGCUUUAGUGAUCCGACGGUUCUGAGUGGAAGGGCCGUCGCUCAACGGAUAAAAGUUACUCUAGGAUAACAGGCUGAUCUCCCCCAAGAGUUCACAUCGACGGGGAGGUUUGGCACCUCGAUGUCGGCUCAUCGCAACCUGGGGCUGAAGUCGGUCCCAAGGGUUGGGCUGUUCGCCCAUUAAAGCGGUACGCGAGCUGGGUUCAGAACGUCGUGAGACAGUUCGGUCCAUAUCCGGUGCAUGCGUAGGAACAUUGAGAGGAUUUCUCCCUAGUACGAGAGGACCGGGAGGAACGCACCUCUGGUGUACCAGUUAUCGUGCCAACGGUAAACGCUGGGUAGCCAUGUGCGGAGCGGAUAACCGCUGAAAGCGUCUAAGUGGGAAGCCACCUCAAGAUGAGCGUUCCCAUGGCAGUAAGCCAGUAAGGUCACGGGCAGAACACCCGUUGAUAGGCUCUACGUGGAAGCGUGGCAACGCGUGAAGCGGAGGAGUACUAAUAGACCGAGGGCUUGAC